rnacentral:rRNA from 1 species
GACGAACGCUGGCGGCGUGCCUAAUACAUGCAAGUAGAACGCACAGUUUAUACCGUAGCUUGCUACACCAUAGACUGUGAGUUGCGAACGGGUGAGUAACGCGUAGGUAACCUGCCUGGUAGCGGGGGAUAACUAUUGGAAACGAUAGCUAAUACCGCAUAAUAUUAAUUAUUGCAUGAUAAUUGAUUGAAAGAUGCAACUGCAUCACUACCAGAUGGACCUGCGUUGUAUUAGCUAGUAGGUGAGGUAACGGCUCACCUAGGCGACGAUACAUAGCCGACCUGAGAGGGUGGUCGGCCACACUGGGACUGAGACACGGCCCAGACUCCUACGGGAGGCAGCAGUAGGGAAUCUUCGGCAAUGGACGAAAGUCUGACCGAGCAACGCCGCGUGAGUGAAGAAGGUUUUCGGAUCGUAAGGCUCUGUUGUAAGAGAAGAACGGGUGUGAGAGUGGAAAGUUCACACUGUGACGGUAUCUUACCAGAAAGGGACGGCUAACUACGUG